AAUCAAAUACAUAUUUUACUACCAGUGGAAAGUACUUUUUUUGGAUUUUGUAACUCAGUGAAAAUAAACCUAAAUAGCGUUUAUCCUCAGACUGGCGGAUGUUCCCGACAGGGCGCCACCAUUUUU